CAUCGGCGAUUGAUUUAGCGGCCGCGAUUCGCCCUUCCUACGGGAGGCAGCAGUGGGGAAUAUUGGACAAUGGGGGGAAUCCUGAUCCAGCCAUGCCGCGUGUGUGAAGAAGGCCCUCGGGUUGUAAAGCACUUUCAGCGAGGAAGAACGCCUAGCGGUUAAUACCCGCUAGGAAAGACAUCACUCGCAGAAGAAGCACCGGCUAACUCCGUGCCAGCAGCCGCGGUAAUACGGAGGGUGCAAGCGUUAAUCGGAAUUACUGGGCGUAAAGCGCGCGUAGGUGGCUUGAUAAGCCGGUUGUGAAAGCCCCGGGCUCAACCUGGGAACGGCAUCCGGAACUGUCAAGCUAGAGUGCAGGAGAGGAAGGUAGAAUUCCCGGUGUAGCGGUGAAAUGCGUAGAGAUCGGGAGGAAUACCAGUGGCGAAGGCGGCCUUCUGGACUGACACUGACACUGAGGUGCGAAAGCGUGGGUAGCAAACAGGAUUAGAUACCCUGGUAGUCCACGCCGUAAACGAUGUCGACCAGCCGUUGGGUGCCUAGCGCACUUUGUGGCGAAGUUAACGCGAUAAGUCGACCGCCUGGGGAGUACGGCCGCAAGGUUAAAACUCAAAUGAAUUGACGG
rnacentral:rRNA from 1 species